UUUUAAGGCAUUCUCUUUGUAAUGAAUAAUGCAUACAACAAUGUGUUAGCAAAUGAUUAAACCAAACUUAUUGAAAUGUCUAUGUAAUAUUCAAAAGUCAGUGAACUAUAGAAAGGAUGCACUGUUAAAUGAAAUGUGAUGGUAAGAAAAGCUUAAAAGUAAUGAGU